GGUUGUGGCUCAGUGGCAGAGCGCUUGCUUAGCAUGUAUGAGGCACUGGGUUCGAUUCUUAGGACCG
rnacentral:tRNA from 1 species